UAAUACGUAGGUGGCAAGCGUUAUCCGGAAUUAUUGGGCGUAAAGCGCGCGCAGGCGGUUUCUUAAGUCUGAUGUGAAAGCCCACGGCUCAACCGUGGAGGGUCAUUGGAAACUGGGGAACUUGAGUGCAGAAGAGGAAAGCGGAAUUCCACGUGUAGCGGUGAAAUGCGUAGAGAUGUGGAGGAACACCAGUGGCGAAGGCGGCUUUUUGGUCUGUAACUGACGCUGAGGCGCGAAAGCGUGGGGAGCAAACAGGAUUAGAUACCCUGGUAGUCCACGCCGUAAACGAUGAGUGCUAAGUGUUAGAGGGUUUCCGCCCUUUAGUGCUGCAGCUAACGCAUUAAGCACUCCGCCUGGGGAGUACGGUCGCAAGAC
rnacentral:rRNA from 1 species